rnacentral:rRNA from 1 species
CAAGCUUCCACUUUUAGACGGGCCUAUUUCCUAUCAGCUAGUUGGUGAGGUAACGGCUCACCAAGGCGACGACGGGUAGCUGGUCUGAGAGGACGGUCAGCCACAUUGGGACUGAGACACGGCCCAGACUCCUACGGGAGGCAGCAGUCGGGAAUAUUCGGCCAAUGCGCGAAAGCGUGACCGAGCGACACCGCGUGGGCGACGAAGAACUUAGGUUUGUAAAGCCCUUUUGCUGGAGAGGAACACUGUUGCGACAACAUCAAAGCAGAAUGACAGUAUCCAGCGAAUAAGCCGCAGCUUACUACGUGCCAGCAGCUGCGGUAAUACGUAGGCGGCAAGCGUUAUCCGGAAUUACUGGGUGUAAAGGGUCCGCAGGCGUCUUGUUAAGUUAGGAGUUAAAUCCCAAGGCCUAACCUUGGGGCUGCUCUUAAGACUGACAGGAUAGAGUGUAGGAGACGGAAGUGGAAUUCCUGGUGGAGAGGUAAAAUCCGUAGAUAUCAGGAGGAACACCUGUGGCGUAGGCGGCUUCCGAGCCUAUAACUGACGCUCAUGGACGAAAGCUAGGGGAGCAAACAGGAUUAGAUACCCUGGUAGUCCUAGCCCUAAACGAUGAUUACUUGGUGGUAGCGAGUACAUACUCAUUACCGCCGUAGCCAACGCGUUAAGUAAUCCACCUGGGG